UAGGUACCCUGACAUUUCAGGGGUUCCCAGUAACCCUAAACCGAAUCACAGCUGUAUCAAUAUCUAACCAGCUCGAUUAAAGAUGAGGAAACUGGGGCUGAAAGCGGCUUUGUGACUUGUCCUGAUCAACAUAACAGGGUAAGAAAUACUUUGAACGUUGGCUUUUUGGAGGGAAAGAGGACAACUGCAUUUUGUAGGAAGAAAGCAGAAAGAUUUAAUGAUAUAAGCCCUCAGGCUCCAAUCAGAAUGUACAAAACUCAGGAGACCUCAGAGGACAGGAGC